rnacentral:rRNA from 1 species
GAUGAACGCUAGCGGCAGGCCUAAUACAUGCAAGUCGGACGAGAAUCAGGGAAGUAGCAAUACGGAACUGAGGACAGUGGCGCACGGGUGCGUAACGCGUAUGCAACCUACCUUGAUCAGGGGGAUAGCCCGAAGAAAUUCGGAUUAACACCGCAUAAGAACAUAGAGUGGCAUCACUCAGUGUUUAAAUAUUUAUAGGAUCAAGAUGGGCAUGCGUGACAUUAGCUAGUUGGUGAGGUAACGGCUCACCAAGGCGACGAUGUCUAGGGGAUCUGAGAGGAAGACCCCCCACACUGGUACUGAGACACGGGCCAGACUCCGACGGGAGGCAGCAGUAAGGAAUAUUGGUCAAUGGAGGCAACUCUGAACCAGCCAUGCCGCGUGCAGGAAGACUGCCCUAUGGGUUGUAAACUGCUUUUAUACGGGAAUAAACCCCCUUACGUGUAAAGGGUUGAAUGUACUGUAAGAAUAAGGAUCGGCUAACUCCGUGCCAGCCGCCGCCGUAAGAC